rnacentral:antisense_RNA from 1 species
GGGUCUCACUAUGCUGCCCAGGCUGGUCUCGAGCUCCUGGCCUCAAGCAGUACUCCUACCUCAGCCUCCCAAGUUAGAGGCUCCUGAACUACAAUGGCAACGAUUGAAGAAACUGUUGUUGAAGAGUCCACGCCAAAUUCUCAGUAUGUCACCGAAGACAAGGACAUUUUGGAUAGAACCUGGCUGCUAAUCCACUCUUGUCAGGAGGGAAGAUUUUUUUCUCUUUCUGUAGUGAGCAACAAGGCCACUUGAUGAAGAAGCUGAGGUUCAUGGAAGCUAAAUAACUUGCCCACAGGGCAUAACUAGUAGGCAGCUAAGCUAGGACUUCAACCGAGGUCUGUAAGACUUAAAGCACAUGCUUUUCCUGCUCCUCAAUAGCUUUCCUGCUAAGCACCAAGAGACUCUAGGCUGCCAGGAACAUCACAGCAGAGACCACUGUCAAUCAAUGCAUCUCCACCGUCUUUUAGACUUUCUUUUGAAGAAAGAUUUAGCUGCUAAAAGAUGAAUAUACGAAAAGGAUAAUACUACCAUAUUUCAUCAUAUUGGCUCGUUUUAAUACAAGAAGACUCAUCCGGCUUAAACAUCUGAUGUUUAAGAAGCUAACCAGCAAGCUGCUCUCUGGGAAUGCAUACCAUCAGGUAUGGAUCAGUGGCCCUGAGAUCAUGUUCAUAACUCAGCAGCUUUGUACAAGCUGUCAAGACUCAGAACAUGAUACCCCAAAGUAUGGCACCUUGGUGUGCUGAGUACU